rnacentral:tRNA from 1 species
UAACAUUGAAGUAAUAAAUUACAUUUAGUUUCGACCUAAAAAUUAGAGAAAAUACUCCAUGUUUU